rnacentral:rRNA from 1 species
CUACGGGAUGCAGCAGCCGCGAAACCUUUACAAUGCACGCAAGUGUGAUAAGGGGAUCCCAAGUGCUUUACUUCGGUAAGGCUUUUGCCAAGCAUAAAUAACUUGGAGAAUAAGUGGUGGGUAAGACUGGUGCCAGCCGCCGCGGUAACACCAGCGCCACAAGUGGUAAUCACGAUUAUUGGGUCUAAAGGGUCUGUAGCCGGUUUGAUAAAUUUUUUGUGAAAUUGUUAAGCUUAACUUAACAUUGUGCGAAAAACACUAUCAAACUAGAGACCGGGAGGAGAUAGAAGUAUUCUGGGGGGAGUGGUAAAAUGCUAUAAUCCCCAGAGGACUACCUAUGGCGAAGGCAUCUAUCUAGAACGGUUCUGACGGUGAUAGACGAAAGCUAGGGGAGCGAUCCGGAUUAGAUACCCCAGUAGUC